GAAUGCUUCGGUACCACGUGAUUUACGAAGAAUCCGAUUGGUUCGAUAAGGCUCUGUUAGAAAUUGGGGCCCUGUCACAAGUCACAUGGUUUUGUAAAUUACAAAACUUUUGUUGUCGAAAACAGAUUAGAAGGCAAGGAAAGUAAAUCGUUCUAAAAAAAACUGUGAGAUUCGACUUGUAAAUGUGCAAUAACAUCGUUAUCUAAUCAAAUACAUUCAUAUUGUUUAAUGCAGGUUAGUAAAUGACAUCAAAAUUGGAGGUUACAUCGAGGCGCUCGUUUAAAGAUACAGUAAGACCCUAAUUAAAAGUCCGAAUCGCUGUUCCGAAACAACAUCGAUAUCAAAUAACCUCCAUGAUUAUCCUCGCGAAGUAAUCCUUUUGCUUUCUAUUUCUUUUAAUCGAUAUAUCAUUUAGGUUUGACAUGCAUAACAAAUUCCCUGGUACAAAAUUAAAUUUGCUAGAGAUCAUUGUAAUAGGACACUCGCAGAUCAACGACCUAGGAGACAGAUAUAGGUUGAGGGCGCCUGGUAUGCGGAAACAGGAUGGGUGUGACGCAGAGGGUGCAGGUUGAGGGUGGUACGUUGCGUCAUUGGAUGAUUGGUACCGCACGAACGAAUGGCGUUGCGUUAAAACAUCGUGUCUAGUUAACAAACGUUUAUCCGUUUAACUCGUUUCGUAUGAAAUGUUUCGUAUGAAAUAAGCGAAAGAAAACGAUGUCUCGUCGAGUACAGCAGAGUUAAAGUGCAUAAAAUUCUCCGAAAGAAGCCAGAUAUAGAUUUCCCUCGGCAACACGUUACCAAGGGCUACAUGCUUCUUCUUCCGUUACUGCAUGGUGCUUCAUGGCUCGUCGUGGGUGGCUGCCGUGAUGUCCUAAUCCCGCUAAGUCCCUAGGGGUGAGAUCGAUACAUCCAUUCCUCUUUCCCUCAUGUUUUCACGGUGAAAUAGAAGAGCAUCGAUGGUAGAAUUCUUAGCGUGGAAUUCGGAGACGGAAGGGUUGGCGCAGAUGAAGCGUCAGGGAGAAACAUGCGCAGAAAAAGCGAAAGAAUCAAACAUGGAACAGCGGAAACAGGUCCUCGGCUUUUUGCGACAGAACGAAAUUUUGUGGAAUAUUUCGACAUCUGGAAUCCUAUUUAAAAAAAAAAAAAAAAAAAAAAAAAAAAAAACAGAGAAACGAUGUAACGAGGACACAGAGCGUGACCCGGAUGAAGAAUUGGGACGCGAGUAGCCCGCAGUACGAGCUCGAUUUAAAAAUUGUCAAAUAAAAACUAGAAUUCUCUGUACGAGCAGGAUUCGAAAAGAAUCGACAGGUCCAAGUUUGACAAAUUAUCGGUUAUAGGCGUCAGGUCUCGACCGUUUUCCGCGGUAUUGUCUCCGGUCCAUUUGCUAUUUACAUUUUACGAGCUGCUGGGGAAUUCGGGCUUCGGAGCGUAAUUGCCGUGAAUACGGGCCAGCAUGGCUGUUGAUCCGGCUCGAAAAAUAUAGGGAGAACUGUCGCGAUGUUCUGGCUCCGCCCUUGUCUUUCCGAAACGUGUAUUCCUCGAGGAUGAGGAGAAAGGUACGAAAGGAGGUUACGAACAAAUUUGCUUGUUUUUCGUUCGUGUUUAAAAAUGUUCUACGGGGAUAAAAAUUUGUCGUGGAUAAAACUAUGGAUGGAUAAGCGUAUGUCUCUGCGAUAUAGACACGUACGUGCGUAAAGGGAUGUAUGUAUAUAUGGUGUAUAGGAAGGACGAGGAGGCUGCGAGGAAGAGGAAAGCGAGUAAAGAAAGCGACAGAAAAAGAUAAAGGAGGGAGGGAUAGGAGGGCUGGAGGAAAGGAGGAGAGGGCAGGGAGAUGCAGAGAUAGACAGAGAUCGUAGCAAAGGGAUGAAAAGGUAGAAUGGUCGCGAGAGGGUGAGAGGGAGAGGAAGGAGAGUAGAGAACUCUGCGCGCCGCAGCGCUACGGGGUGGUUGCCCUCGUCUGCGCUUUGUGGGAAAUGCCCGCUCAAUAACGCGUAGGUCCUCGUCUGCCCCUUCUCACCCUCGGAGGCAUCGCAGCAAGGGCCACUGCCCCAAAAGGCAUGGCCACCCGUCUAACAACCCUUAUCCUACUCUCCCUCCUACCCAGAAGACACUCCUCGAGUCCUCCUCCUCCUUCGAACGUUUCGCGCCGUCCGAAAAGGAUCGAACCUUGGUCCUUAUGUCCAUGUCCAUGUCCACGUCAACUCAGGGACGAACCCUGGAUCGAUGCACCCGGAUCGAUCGAUCUAGCGAUCGCAGGAAUCGCGAGCGGUUGACCUAAACGGAAGACUUAACCAGAAGACCGUCCUUCGACGACGUCCACCUCCGUGACGUACAUUGUACGAUAUUAUCCCGUCAAGUGGAGACAAUCAACAGCGAUAAAUUAGGAGAAACGAGAUCGAAUUGCUGCACGGAUCGCGACAGAGGCACUUACACUCCUCGACAAGGUGACACAACACGCUUAACCCUUCGACACCGAUGAUGCUGGGUCACUUUUCCGACGUUAAUUUCGAAGUCCCAUACCUCUGUCAUCGAGAGCGUCGAGCCAUGUGUUUACAUUGUAACUGGAUCCGUAGCAAUCGGUUCUCCCCGCUAUUCGAACUUUUAGCGACAGAAACGUUUCGAACAUGAUCGCAAAAGAAGUAGUUUUCGGGACAAAAUGUUAACGAAAAAAAUUGGUUACGAGGCAAUAUUAAUACGGUAAUAAUAUUUGCACGUAAAAAUUCGAUUCUAAGCCUUCUUUUGUAGCGCGUAUGGACUUGGAUUUCCGAGAUGGAAAUAUGGACUUGGACUCGGACUCGGUGUCCGAGGGUUAACCAUUAUCGUAUCGAAAAAUGUUGCGCUAACGCUACUCGAUAUGUAAAAAAAAAAAACAAAUAAAAAAAAAAAAUAAAUAUACACGUCGAAUUGUGUAACAUCCUCCUUUUCGAAGUCGGUUAAAAACAACGCGACCGAAGAAAACGCUCGAAGAAUCUUGCUCGAGGAUGCCUGAUACAAUUGUUUGAAUCCAGUUCAAUAACGACGAAUAAUCAGGAUACGGCUCGACGGAAUUCAUCCCAACGUAGAGAUCGCAUAGAAGGAAACAGUUCCUAUCGAACAAGAAGAAUACUUAUUGAUCCGGCAGGGGGUGGAUAUAGCGAGUACGGCUUGUACAAUACUUAAACGCCAUCCGUCGCGAAAACUAUAAACGACGCCAAUUUACUUCGUUUGACGUUGGAAAUUUCAUGCAAAACUUAUGCGAACGAAUCGUUCUCGGAAAGGGUCAUCGAGUACCUCCAGGGAACAGAGUCUG